rnacentral:rRNA from 1 species
AACGAACGCUGGCGGCAGGCCUAACACAUGCAAGUCGAGCGCGCCUUUCGGGGUGAGCGGCGGACGGGUUAGUAACGCGUGGGAAUAUACCCUUUGGUACGGAAUAGCCUCUGGAAACGGAGAGUAAUACCGUAUGAGCCCUUCGGGGGAAAGAUUUAUCGCCAAAGGAUUAGCCCGCGUUAGAUUAGGUAGUUGGUGGGGGUAAUGGCCUACCAAGCCUACGAUCUAUAGCUGGUUUUAGAGGAUGAUCAGCAACACUGGGACUGAGACACGGCCCAGACUCCUACGGGAGGCAGCAGUGGGGAAUCUUGGACAAUGGGGGCAACCCUGAUCCAGCCAUGCCGCGUGAGUGAAGAAGGCCCUAGGGUCGUAAAGCUCUUUCGCCUGUGAAGAUAAUGACGGUAGCAGGUAAAGAAACCCCGGCUAACUCCGUG